rnacentral:ncRNA from 1 species
GAAAGCCGUAUGAGGGAAAACCUCACGUACGGUUUGAUGAGGGGAGGCUGAAAAUAAAUGGGCGACACGUAAAGGCCACCCAUUGAAAUCAGUUUUCUACUCUAU